GACGAACGCUGGCGGCGUGCCUAAUACAUGCAAGUUGAGCGCUGAAGGUUGGUACUUGUACCAACUGGAUGAGCAGCGAACGGGUGAGUAACGCGUGGGGAAUCUGCCUUUGAGCGGGGGACAACAUUUGGAAACGAAUGCUAAUACCGCAUAAAAACUUUAAACACAAGUUUUAAGUUUGAAAGAUGCAAUUGCAUCACUCAAAGAUGAUCCCGCGUUGUAUUAGCUAGUUGGUGAGGUAAAGGCUCACCAAGGCGAUGAUACAUAGCCGACCUGAGAGGGUGAUCGGCCAAAUUGGGACUGAGACACGGCCCAAACUCCUACGGGAGGCAGCAGGAGGGAAUCUUCGGCAAUGGACGAAAGUCUGACCGAGCAACGCCGCGUGAGUGAAGAAGGUUUUCGGAUCGUAAAACUCUGUUGGUAGAGAAGAACGUUGGUGAGAGUGGAAAGCUCAUCAAGUGACGGUAACUACCCAGAAAGGGACGGCUAACUACGUG
rnacentral:rRNA from 1 species